rnacentral:tRNA from 1 species
GAGGGUAUAGCUCAGUGGUAGAAGUCAUGCUUAGCAUGCUUGAAGUCCUGGGUUCAAUCCCCAGUGCUUCCA